rnacentral:lncRNA from 1 species
AUGGGGAGCUGCCAGGGCCAGGGCCACAGCCUGAGGGUCCUAGGAGGGCAUGGAGCAUGGGCGGGCCCCAGUAGGGCCGGGAGGGUGUCCUGCAGAGGGACCUGGGUGUUUCUGUCCUCCGUCCCUGGGACACUGACUGACCGCGGCCUCUGUCUUUGCAGUGCGCAAUAUUUACCCCUGUGGUGCUGCAGAAGAGGAGCAGCUCUUCAUCUUUGCUCCCCAGCAAACCACCGAGUGAGGAGCAUGGCAGCAGAGGAGGAAUGGGUAUGUCCCAUCUGCCGUGACGAGCGCAAGGACAUUGCCUACGCAAUGCCGUGCUGUCACGAGUUCUGCCUCGGCUGCAUCCUGCGGUGGGGCAAGCAGCAGGAGAGCUGCCCUCUCUGCCGGAGAGUCAUGGAAGUGGUCAAGGUGGCAGCGCUGGAUGAUGACGAGGACCUGGACUUCGUCAUCUGGCCUCCAGCAGCUCCUGUACCUGCCUGCUUCCAGGAAGCCGUUGCUCCCGAUUUCAGCAGCUCAGGCUCUUCGCUGUCCUCUUCGCCACCCCCUUCACCGUGGUCGGAUGAGGAGGAGGAGGCAGAAGAUGAGGAGGCAGAGGCGGAGGCAGUGGAGGUGCCUACAGUGGGCGGUCUCCCGCCUGACAUCUGGGCAGAUCUGUUCAGGCAGCACCAGCAGAUCCUGGACCCUGUGCUGCCCUGGCUGCGCCAACAGCUGCAAGCCACCUUUCACACACACUGGUGGCCGGCAAUGGCAGCGGAGGCCUACCUCCUGAAUGCCCUGUGUGACAUCGGGCUGGACGGCGAGUGGCUGACGGAGAUGACGCGGCCUGCCCUGGAGAACAGAGCGGAGGCGUUCGUCCAGGAGCUCCUCGACAACAUCGUGCGCCACUGCGGCGAGGAGGCGCACAGACUGCUGGGUCUGCAGGACGCCCACGUGCCUGAGGGGCGGGAGGAAGGCCCAGCAGCCAGGGGGCAGGAGGACAGCCCUGUGGCCGCCCCUGGCCCCACAGCCUCCCCAGAACCGGACCUCACGUCGGGGCCCAGAGUCAGCACUGCAUGUCCCAGCAUUGAGGAGGAGACCCGCACAGCAGUGGCUGACGUUCUUGUGUGUCCCGAUCACGUCCCCGCUGCACACUUGGCGAGGGAAGCGGAGGAGCCCCAUGAAGAGAUGGAGCAGGCAACAGCAGCAGGUCCCUCUGCCCGGGGCAGCAGCCCCUCUGCUCCUGGCCACCCUCCUGAGAGGGCCCGGCGGCCCCCUAAGAGGAGGGCUGACAGUGAGCAGGACCCACAGCCGCCCUGCAAGAGGCCUCCCCCUCGGCCUCACUAG